UUCAUUGAGAGUUUGAUUCUGGCUCAGGAUGAACGUUGGCGGCGUGAUUAAGGCAUGCAAGUCGAGCGACGUGUCCCUUAACACUUUUCUUCUGAAAAAUCGGAAGCAGGGUGUUAAGGGAUUACGAGCGGCAGACGGGUGAGUAACACAUUGGUAACCUACCUCCAAGACGGGCACAACUUGUCGAAAGAUAAGCUAAUUCCCGAUAGUCAUGAGGGGCCGCAAGGCAUUCUCAUGUAAACGAUUUUUCGCUUGGAGAGGGGCCUAUGUCCUAUCAGCUAGUUGGCAGUGUAAAAGACUACCAAGGCUACGACGGGUACCGGGCGUGAGAGCGUGACCCGGCUCACUGGGACUGAGACACUGCCCAGACACCUACGGGUGGCUGCAGUCGUGAAUAUUCCGCAAUGGACGAAAGUCUGACGGAGCGACGCCGCGUGCAGGAUGAAGCCCCUUGGGGUGUAAACUGCUUUUAUAGGGGAAGAAUUUGUGACGGUACCCUAUGAAUAAGAGGUUGCUAACUCUGUGCCAGCAGCAGCGGUAAUACAGAGACCUCAAACGUUAUCCG
rnacentral:ncRNA from 1 species